rnacentral:tRNA from 1 species
CUCUGUAGCUCAGUCGGUAGAGCAUCGGUCUGAAGAACCGAGUGUCGCUGGUUCGAUUCCGGCCGGAGC